AUGGAGAUGAAAACUUUGGAGGGCGAGCUGGAGGAGCUUGAGAAGGGCGUGGAGCCUGCGUGGGAAAGCUUGGUCCACCUGCUCAAGCGCAUCGUCGACAGGCUGAACGUCGUUGACCACAUCAAGGCCGUCAAGGACUCGCCCGACCUCCGUGCCGCCGUCGAGGAUGUCCAGAUGCUGGCGUUUCAUGUUUCGUCGCGAGCAUCAAGACGAAGAAGUCGGAAGAAGCAUAGUUCAAGCUCAUCGGAGCUAGUUCAAGGAGUAACGAAGCCCUUGAUGCUGAUCCGUAUUGGAACAAAUUGA
rnacentral:rRNA from 1 species